rnacentral:rRNA from 1 species
UACGUAGGGUGCGAGCGUUAAUCGGAAUUACUGGGCGUAAAGGGUGCGCAGGCGGCUCCGCAUGUCAGGCGUGAAAGCCCCGGGCUUAACCUGGGAACGGCGCUUGAAACUACGGGGCUGGAGUGUGGCAGAGGGAGGUGGAAUUCCACGUGUAGCGGUGAAAUGCGUAGAGAUGUGGAGGAACACCGAUGGCGAAGGCAGCCUCCUGGGCCAACACUGACGCUCAUGCACGAAAGCGUGGGGAGCAAACAGGAUUAGAAACCCCCGUAGUCC